UAUCUCUGUAGAGUCUGCAUAUCAAUAAGCGGAGGAAAAGAAACUAACUAGGAUUCCCUCAGUAACGGCGAGUGAAGCGGGAAGAGCUCAAAUUUGAAAUCUUCAAGGUUCUACCUUGACGAAUUGUAGUUUAAAGAAGUGUUUUCUGUUGGUGUUUUGGUAAAAGUUCUUUGGAAUAGGACAUCAUAGAGGGUGAGAAUCCCGUAUUUGACCAUUACUUUCCAGCGUUGUGAUACACUUUCAAAGAGUCGGAUUGUUUGGGGAUGCAGUCCAAAAUGGGUGGUAAAUUUCAUCUAAAGCUAAAUACUGGCGAGAGACCGAUAGCGAACAAGUACCGUGAGGGAAGGAUGAAAAGAACUUUGAAAAGAGAGUUAAACAGUACGUGAAAUUGUCAAAAGGGAAGCGUUUGACACCAGUGUUGUUUUCUCGAAAAUCAAUUAAAAAUGGUAGGAUUUUGUGUUGUAUUGACUUUAUCAGCUUUCUGCACUUUUUUCCUGUCUUUUUUAAUGCACUUUUCGUUUAACAAGUCAACAUCAAUUUCUUUUGUUGUAAAAGGGUCAUUGGAAGGUGGCUUUCUUUUCGGAGAAAGUGUUUAUAGCCUUUGACUUCUGCAAUCGGAGAGAUUGAGGUCUGCAGCGUAGAUCCCUUCGGGGUUAGAUGCAUUUGUGCUAAGUUAUAGCCUUUCAUAGACAACUUGUUGACUAUGAUCAGUCAUGUAGCUUACUCGCUUAUGUCAUUUUACCUACGCUUAGGAUGUUGAUCUCUCACAGUCGAGC
rnacentral:rRNA from 1 species